GGGGCGGUAGCUCAGUUGGGAGAGCGCUGCAUUCGCAUUGCAGAGGUCGGGAGUUCAACUCUCCUCCGCUCCA
rnacentral:tRNA from 1 species